ACUAUUUUGGCAGAAAAGUGCGAUGGAUUUAGAAUCUAUAAAUAUGGUGUUUACUAUAAAUAGUA
rnacentral:tRNA from 1 species